GACGAACGCUGGCGGCGUGCUUAACACAUGCAAGUCGAACGGAAAGGCCCUGCUUUUGUGGGGUGCUCGAGUGGCGAACGGGUGAGUAACACGUGAGUAACCUGCCCUUGACUUUGGUAUAACUUCAGGAAACUGGGGCUAAUACCGGAUAGGAGCUCCUGCUGCAUGGUGGGGGUUGGAAAGUUUCGGCGGUCGGGGAUGGACUCGCGGCUUAUCAGCUUGUUGGUGGGGUAGUGGCUUACCAAGGCUUUGACGGGUAGCCGGCCUGAGAGGGUGACCGGCCACAUUGGGACUGAGGUACGGACCAGACUCCUACGGGAGGCAGCAGUGGGGAAUAUUGCACAAUGAGCGGAAGCCGGAUGCAGAAACGCCGCGUGCGGGAUGACGGCCUUCGGGUUGUAAACCGCUUUCGCCUGUGACGAAGCGUGAGUGACGGUAAUGGGUAAAGAAGCACCGGCUAACUACGUG
rnacentral:rRNA from 1 species